GACGAACGCUGGCGGCGUGCCUAAUACAUGCAAGUUGAGCGCUGAAGGUUGGUACUUGUACCGACUGGAUGAGCAGCGAACGGGUGAGUAACGCGUGGGGAAUCUGCCUUUGAGCGGGGACAACAUUUGGAAACGAAUGCUAAUACCGCAUAAAAACUUUAAACACAAGUUUUAAGUUUGAAAGAUGCAAUUGCAUCACUCAAAGAUGAUCUCGCGUUGUAUUAGCUAGUUGGGGAGGUAAAGGCUCACCAAGGCGAUGAUACAUAGCCGACCUGAGAGGGUGAUCGGCCACAAUGGGACUGAGACACGGCCCCAACUCCUACGGGAGGCAGCAGUAGGGAAUCUUCGGCAAUGGACGAAAGUCUGACCGAGCAACGCCGCGUGAGUGAAGAAGGGUUUCGGAUCGGAAAACUCUGUUGGUAGAGAAGAACGUUGGUGAGAGUGGAAAGCUCAUCAAGUGACGGUAACUACCCAGAAAGGGACGGCUAACUACGUG
rnacentral:rRNA from 1 species